rnacentral:rRNA from 1 species
UACAGAGGUGGCAAGCGUUGUUCGGAAUUACUGGGCGUAAAGGGCGCGUAGGCGGCCACCGCAAGUCAAUUGUGAAAUCUCCGGGCUUAACUCGGAAAGGUCAACUGAUACUGCGGGGCUAGAGUGCGGAAGGGGCAGCUGGAAUUCUCGGUGUAGCGGUGAAAUGCGUAGAUAUCGGGAGGAACACCAGUGGCGAAGGCGGUUGCCUGGAGCUUUGCUGACGCUGAUGCGCGAAAGCGUGGGGAGCGAUCCGG